rnacentral:tRNA from 1 species
UGGCGCAGCCUGGUAGCGCACCUGUUUUGGGUACAGGGGGUCGGAGGUUCGAAUCCU